rnacentral:piRNA from 1 species
UAGAGUAGUAAUAUGGUAGUA